rnacentral:lncRNA from 1 species
GGGGUGUACUGUUAUACCUAAGGACACAGGUAUUCUGUCUGUGACCCAUUUGUAUAUCCGAGAAAUAGUGAGCCCCAGUCCUUGUAAUUGUUUAUGUAAUUCCAAGUCUCCCAACUCCCUGGUGUUUCCUUUUAAACUGAUUAGUGGAGGUGGCCUUCCAUAUAAGAUUUCAAAUGGCGAGAAUCCUAUUCCCACUCGGGGUGAGCAUCUCACUUUUAAGAGGGCCACCGGCAACAUGUCUAUCCAGGGCAAGCCAGUUUCCUGACAUAACUUUGCCAGUGUCUGUUUAAGGGUUUGGUUCAUGCGUUCUACUUUCCCUGAACUUUGAGGUCGAUAAGCAGAAUGUAGUUUCCAUCGGAUCUGUAAAGCUUUUGCCACCUGUUGUACUGUUUCGGCCACAAAUGCUGGUCCAUUAUCUGACCCGAUGGUCAGAGGCAUUCCAUAUCUGGGAAUAAUGUCUCUCAGGAGUGCCUUGGUUACUUCCCUUGCCUUUUCAGUCCGGGUAGGGAAGGCCUCUACCCAUCCUGAAAAAGUACAGAUAAAAACUAGUAAAUAUUUGUACCCCUUACUAGGGGUGACCUCAGUAAAGUCCACUUCCAUAUCCUCAAAUGGGGACAGUCCGCAGUGCUGUGCCCCAGCUGGUCUGUGGGGCCCCUGGCGGGCAUUAUUCUGUAAACAGGUUAUGCAUCUUUGGGAGACAGAGGAGCAGAGUGCAGGAAGACGAGCAAUGAGAUAGUACCGGCCCAGUAGGGUCUCUAAGGCAGUUUUGCCCAUGUGGGUUAGCUCAUGUUCUUGGCGGACUAGUUUGUAGGCCAGCUGUUCUGGAAUGUAAACUCGGUGGUCCCGUGUGACCCACCAUCCCGUUUUAGUUUUAGUUCCUCCUUCCUCCCUUAUCCAUUUUUCUUCCUCUGGAGAAUAUUUGGGGACAGCUGGCACUUCUGGGGCCAGCAAGACCUUAGGUUUGUCUGGCUGUUGUCCCCGGGCUGCCUGUCUGGCAGCUGCAUCAGCACUACGGUUUCCUUUUGUCACUGGGUCAUCCCCCUUUUGGUGGCCUUUACAGUGGAUAACUGCAGCUUCUUUAGGUUCCCAUACUGCCUCUAGGAGCUUUAAGAUUUCAGCCUGGUUUUUAAUUCCUUUUCCUUCAGCAGUGAGGAGCCCUCUUUCUUUAUAUAAGGCUCCAUGGACAUGUAAAGUUGCAAAGGCAUAUCGUGAGUCGGUAUAGAUAUUAACUCGCUGGUCUUGGCUGAGUUCCAGUGCUCUGAUUAAGGCCCAUAAUUCUGCUCUCUGUGCUGACCAGCCUUGAGGAAGCACCUCUGCUUCUAUCACUUUUAAGUCAGAUACCACAGCAUAUCCUGCCAUCCUUUUUCCAUCCUCCAUAAAGCUGCUGCCAUCAGUAUAUAAAACCAGGUCAGGAUUUUGGAGUGGUUUAUCAGUCAAGUCAGGCCUGCUGGAAAACACCUCAUCUAGUACCUCCAGGCAGUUAUGGUCUGGGGGCCCCGCUUCAUCUGGCAGAAAAGUAGCUGGGUUCAGAGUUCGUACAACCUCCAGUUUUACCCGUGGAUUUUCACAUAGUAACCCUUGAUAUUGAGUCAUUCGUGCAUGUGUGAGCCAAUGGUGGCCCCUGGUAUCCAUUAGGGUUACAACUGAGUGUGGGACUUUAACAUUGAGGUUUUGUCCCAGGGUCAACUUGUCAGCCUCUCUCACCAACAAGGUGGUAGCUGCCAGCGCUUGGAGGCAGGGAGGCCAUCUGGCAGCAACUGAGUCAAUUUGUUUAGACAGAUAUGCCACUGGCCUCUGCCAAGGCCCAAAUUCUUGAGUUAAGACUCCCAAAGCCAUCCCAUUUUUCUCAUGAACAAAAAGGUUAAAUUCUCUGGUUACAUCAGGAAGUCCCAAGGCUGGAGCCUCAGUGAGUUUAGUUUUGAUUGUCUGAAACGCUGUCUCCUGGCUUGGUCCCCAUUUAAGGGGAGCCUUUUUUCCCCUUUUAGAGCCUCAUACAGAGGCCUGGCCAGGUCUGAAAACCCGGGGAUCCAUAUCCGGCAGAAUCCUGCUGCCCCUAGGAACUCACGAACCUUCCGGCGGGUGGUAGGGACAGGAAUGGCACAAACUGCCUGCUUUCUUUUAGUCCCCAGCAUUCGUCGGCCCUGCAUGAUGUUGAAGCCCAGAUACUUGACUUGUUUUUUGCAGAUUUGUGCCUUUUUCUUUGAUACCCGAUACCCUGCCUCCAUCAGUUGGGAAAGGAGAGCUCUUGUUCCCUCUAGGCACUGAGCCUCCGUGGUGUCAGCUAGUAAGAGGUCGUCAACAUACUGUAGCAAAACACAGCCCAGUUUUUGUCCAGGAAAUUCAGCUAGGUCAGCAGCUAAGGCGCUGCUAAAAAGAGUGGGAGAGUUUUUGAAUCCUUGUGGGAGUCUAGUCCAGGUGAGCUGUUUCUUUGUCCCUGUAUGUGGAUUCUCCCAUUCAAAAGCAAACAAGGGCUGACUGGCAGGUGCCACCCGGAGGCAGAAAAAAGCAUCUUUUAAGUCCAGGCAAGUAGACCACUCAGCAGUGGAGGGGAUCAGCACUAGCAGGGUAUAUGUGUUAGGGACGGACAAGUGUAAUGUGACUGUUGCUUCAUUUAUGGCUCUCAAGUCCUAUACUGGGCGGUAGUCCUGUGUUCCCUGUUUUUUCACGGGCAGUAAAGGGGUGUUCCAAGGGGACUGACAUUUUAUUAACAGUCCAUGCUGAAGCAGCCUAUCCAGGUGAACCUGGAUUCCCAGUCGAGCUUCUCUGGGAAUUGAGUAUUGCCGUAGCUUUACCAGUUGAGAUCCGGGUUUUAGAUCAAUCAAGACAGGAGCGUGGCAUUUUGCCAGUCCUGGUGGGUUUCCUUCAGCCCAAACCAAUGGGUAUUUAGUCUCUAGUUCUGGGGGAAUGGUCCCCAUUUCUGAAGGGGAAGAGUACAAGCGCCAUUCCUCUUCCCUUUUUACAGCAAGAGCCAUGAUUAAAGGAGAGGGGUUUUCUGUCAAUUUAAGUUGGUCCGAUCCAUCAGUAGAAAAGGAAAUUUGUGCCCCCAUUUUAGCCAGCAGAUCUCUUCCCAUCAGGGGGACUGGGCAGGCAGGCAGGUAAAGAAAUUCAUGUGUUACUUCAUGGCCUCCUAACCGACAUCGUCGAGGACCACAGAAGGGCCUGUGGGUUUGGUUACCUGUGGCCCCAACAAUGGUGGUUUCUUUCCCCAAGAGGGGAGCCACAGGUUGUGUAACCACAGAUAGUUCGGCACCUGUGUCAACCAUAAAGUCUAUGGGGUGGCCCCCUACUUGAAUUCUGACCAUAGGCUCUCGGGGGCCCAGUUGGAGAGAGCCUGGUCCCCCCUAAUCAGACUCAGCUAGGCCGAUCAGGUUGGUGCUGAAUGGCUCAGAUCGGUACCGGCUAGGUGGGGCCUUGGUCUUUUUCUCAGGACGGUUGGGGCAUUCAUUUUUCCAAUGUCCCUUUUCUUUGCAGUAAGCACAUUGGUCAUGUUCCAGGGGACUCCUUUUCCCUGGCCUUGUGCCUUGUCCCCUACAGGGUGGUCCCACUGGGGGCACCGGUUUUGACAGGGCGGCUGCCAGAAGAGUCACUUUUUGUUUCAUUCUCUUUUCUGCAUCACGGCGGGCCACCUGGUCUCGGUUAAUAAAAACCUUGUUGGCUAUUUCCAACAGUUUAGUGGCAUUCUCUCCUGCAAAGCCUUCUAAUUUCUGUAGCUUUUUACGGAUAUCUGAUUGGGCUUGUCCCACAAAGGCAGCAUUUAUCAUCCGUUGGUUCUCAGGGGCCUCGGGAUCAAAAGGGGUGUAGGUUCGGAAAGCCUCACAUAGUCUCUCAUAGAAUUUGGCUGGGCUUUCAUUCGGCUCUUGUAGUAUCUCACUGAUCUUAGCUAUAUUAGUGGGCUUUUUAGCCCCAGCUUUUGCCCCCUGUAGGAAGGCCUGCCGGUACCUCUCUAGGUUACGUUUCCCUUCCUCAGUGUCAUAGUCCCAGUGGGGGUUUUCUUCUGGGAAGGCUUCCCUCACCCAGUUUGCCAAGUCUGCUCGACCCCCCGCAUUGGCCUGAAGCCAUUUUUGGGCUUCUGUUACAAUUCGCCAGUGCUCUUCAGUGUCAAAUAGAGUAAAAAGGAGUUGCCGGCAGUCUAUCCAGGUGGGACAGUGUGUCUGGAAAAUGAAUUCUAAGAGAUCAAUCAGCGCCUGAGGCUUUUCAGAAUAUGAGGGAGUAUGGUGUUUCCAGUUGAGGAGAUCGGCAGUGGAAAAGGGCUGGUAAUAAUAAAAACGUCCCCCCUCUUGUAUGGUCCCAUCGGGGGCGACUUGCUGUGGUCCCCGUGUCUCCCGUAAGGGCAUUUGUAAUGCUGGAGUGGCUGCUCCCUGAGCUGAACGGAGACGCCUGCUCAUAGGUUCUGGAGAAUCUGGCUGCGGGGGUGAUAUCGCCUCGGGAACUUCAGAAGCAGAAGGAGGAGGAGAAACAGAAGGCGGUGGGCUAUCUGGCAUCUGGGGACCUUCAGCUCUUGGAGUUGGGGCCGGCAGCACAUAAGGUGGUGGCAUAGGGGGCGAGUCCUCAGGUUCCCCUUGAUAAAUAGGUGGCACCUUCUUUUGAGACAAGGUUUUCUUCUUGGACUGGGCUACUAGCACCAUACACUGUCCCUGGUCUGUGGUGCAGAACCAAACACAUAGGGGCCUCAAAUAGGCAAUUUUCAACCAUUUAUCAAUAUGUGGAAAUUGGUCUGGGUGUCCAGGGUCUCCUGUUAUAACAUUAUAUACUGUUGUAACUGUGAACACAUCUAAGGUCCCUUCUGGAGGCCAGCCAACACCAAAGGAGGGCCGCUCUAGGGUACAGAGGGUACACAGUUUUCCAGGACUCAGCUUAACACCAUAACCUCUAGAAAAUCCUUUCUUAAAAUUCUUAACCAUAUACUCUAAGACAGUGGGCUUGGAAGCCGAUUUACCCAUUGUGUGAAGUCCCACCCUGUGCCGGUGACGCAAGACAAACAGUGAGGGCAAGGCCUCAGGUAACAAUCGCUUCAUCCGCCUGACCGCUCCCCCAGAGGAGAUAUUUCAGGCGCCUCUUAGCAUAGGUGGGACUGUAUAAACCCCAACGUCAGGAUCCCCCUGUAGAGGGCCACCAUAAGCCAAUUGACAAGCCUCCCGAUCCCAAGGGAGCAAACCCUGACCUGAGUGACCCUUUGGUCACUGAGAGGUGAUCAGUCUCUCCUUCCGCCGUAUGGCGGGUCCUGACUUGGGCAGAUGUCCCUAGGGCACUCACAAGUCUGAGGUCCUGUCCAGGAACCUGUUUCCACUUUCCUUCUGAGUCCGUUCGGGAACUGGUGUGGGCCACGGCCACGGCCCGAGUGAGGGUCUGGAUCCGGCAAAAUGGCCGGUGCGCGCUAUCCACCAGUCACCUGGCCGGCGACCAUGGCCUCCCCCGGUUCCCUGACAACGGUGGCACAAGAGGCCAGCUCGGUUAUCGGCUUCCCGGCCAAUGCACCAAAAUGUUGCGGAAACUGCAAAAACCGUGGCAACGGAAGGAGACAAACAGCACUCGGAGAUAUGGAAAAGCAAGGUUUAUUCAGCACUGGUGCAGGCUCAGAGGAGUCACCUCCAGAGUCUGAGCACCACGUCUUUGUUCUCAGUAACUUUUAUACACUACAAGGUCUUGAUUUUCCCAUGUAAGCAUCCCGGACCUCCCCCAUCCCCAAGCAGACAGUGUUCCUCCCUAAGAACCUGAGCAAGCAAGGUUACAGAAGCGGAACUGAUAAGGAAUGCUGGGUACCUGAUUAGCAGGGCUGCUGGCUUGGACAGAGAGCACACAGUUGUUACAUUAUUACAAGAAGGGUGGCAUAGUGAUGAGCACAGCUGGAAAGGCUUGCAGCUGCCUU